rnacentral:rRNA from 1 species
UACAUGUGGGGCAAGCGUUGUUCGGAAUUACUGGGCAUAAAGGGUGCGUAGGUGGCCUGCUAAGUCAGUGGUGAAAUCGUCCGGCCCAACCGGACGCCUGCCAAUGAUACUGGUGAGCUUGAGUGCGUGAGGGGUGGGGGGAACGAGCAGUGUAGCGGUGAAAUGCGUAGAUAUUGCUCGGAAGGCCAAAGCCGAAGGGACCCCACUGGUACGUAACUGACACUGAGGCACGAAAGCGUGGGGAGCAAAC